UUUCAGUGCUAGCCCCUUUGGUGUGGGAGCAGUGGCUGGACGUUUCCGAUUUGGGAGCUGUGCUGAGGCUGUGCUGAGAAGGCACG